rnacentral:lncRNA from 13 species
UGCCAGUUUGGACAGUAAAUAAGUUUGAACAAUUUGAAGACCGCAGGGGCCCUUUAUCAAAAUCUAACAUUCUUUUAUUUACAUAUUUUUGUUUUUAAAUUACCACAUACUCUGCAAAACUGAUAUUGUAGAGGCUUCCAUAUUGAUUUUGAUGGUUUUCGUCAAAGCCCGUGAAUUUGCCACUAAAUCAUACUGUCAUAUUAUCUAUCACAUACGAUACAUAAUGAGUAAAAUUACGUUUUGCCAAACCAAAGCCCAUUAAACACAUUUUUGUGGGGUGCAAAUAUAAUUUUCUAGGUCUCAUUAUUCCUUUUCGCAGCACUGUCUCAGCAAUGCAGGUUAUUCUCACCAUCUGCAUUGGCAGAUUAAGCUAAGGAGGCCUUCAUUACCCAGCCACAGACAACGCAUCAUUUCUAUGCGUUUCAGGCUCUGGUUGGGAGGAAGAGAUUUAACCCUCCCCCCUCAACAUAUCAACUUGGAAGGCCAUUAAAGCCUAACCAUGUGAAUACCACCUAUUCAGGGAGAACUCAUUGUUCACGCCAAGGAUCUGCUGCUCUCUCGCUGUCUAUGGCACACCUCUGGAAAAGCCGCCGGCACAUCCGUCUGGAGAAACCUGAAGCACUGGAAUGGGACUGGGGGGACUAGUGAUGAAGACUACAGGAUGCCUAUCCACCGUGGCCUAGUGUUUUGAUGCCAUCUAUUGGAAUAAUUGACCAAUUUAUCAAGGGGAGUAUACAGAGUGACUACCAACUGAAAUGCUUUCUAUCCUCAUAAUAGCAGUAGUCGAUUAUGAAUAUAUCAGUUACAGUUACUAAAUUCUACCCAACAAACAUUGAGUAAACAUUCAGCUCAUUUUGAUAUCAGAAUUAUUAUAUCUCAACCACUUCUACCAAGUCAAAUUUCAAAUGAUGAAAUGGUGAUAUGAUGGUGAACUAGAGAUAUCUUGAUUUUGCAUGAUGCCAUGUGUUUUUAUAAAGAAAAACAAUGAUUUGGAUCAAUACAAAGCAUACCUCUUUUCUCCCAAACAUUGGAAAUCACAGAACAC